UACAGAGGUCUCAAGCGUUUGUUCGGAUUCAUUGGGCGUAAAGGGUGCGUAGGCGGCGCGGUAAGUCGGGUGUGAAAUCUUGGAGCUUAACUCCGAAACUGCAUUCGAUACUGCCGUGCUUGAGGACUGGAGAGGAGACUGGAAUUUACGGUGUAGCGGUGAAAUGCGUAGAUAUCGUAAGGAAGACCAGUGGCGAAGGCGGGUCUCUGGAC
rnacentral:rRNA from 1 species